rnacentral:rRNA from 1 species
UACGUAGGGCGCAAGCGUUGUCCGGAAUUAUUGGGCGUAAAGAGCUCGUAGGCGGUUUGUCGCGUCUGUCGUGAAAGCUUGGGGCUUAACCCCAAGUCUGCGGUGGAUACGGGCAGACUAGAGGCAGGUAGGGGAGAAUGGAAUUCCCGGUGUAGCGGUGAAAUGCGCAGAUAUCGGGAGGAACACCGGUGGCGAAGGCGGUUCUCUGGGCCUGUACUGACGCUGAGGAGCGAAAGCGUGGGGAGCGAACAGG